rnacentral:misc_RNA from 1 species
GAAAUGCGAUAAGUAAUGUGAAUUGCAGAAUUCAGUGAAUCAUCGAAUCUUUGAACGCACAUUGCGCCCGCCAGAAUUCUGGCGGGCAUGCCUUUUCGAGCGUCAUUUCAACCCUCGAGCUCCCCUUUCGGGGGGAGCCCGGCGUUGGGGACCCGGCGCUAACAACGCCGGCCCCGAAAUGGAGUGGCGGCCCGUCCGCGGCGACCUCUGCGUAGUAACAACCACUCGCACCGGGACCCGGGCGCGGCCACGCCGUAAAACACCCCACCUUCCGAAUGUUGACCUCGAAUCAGGUAGGAAUACCCGCUGAACUUAAGC